CCUACGGGCUGCAGCAGUGGGGAAUAUUGCACAAUGGGCGCAAGCCUGAUGCAACCAUGCCGCGUGUAUGAAGAAGGCCUUAGGGUUGUAAAGUACUUUCAGUUGGGAGGAAGGCGUUGAUGCUAAUAUCAUCAGCGAUUGACGUUACCAACAGAAGAAGCACCGGCCAACUCCGUGCCAGCAGCCGCGGUAAUACGGAGGGCGCAAGCGUUAAUCGGAAUUACUGGGCGUAAAGCGCACGCAGGCGGUUGAUUAAGUUGGAUGCGAAAUCCCCGGGCUUAACCUGGGAAUGGCAUCUAAGACUGGUCAGCUAGAGUCUUGUAGAGGGGGGUAGAAUUCCAUGUGUAGCGGUGAAAUGCGUAGAGAUGUGGAGGAAUACCGGUGGCGAAGGCAGCCCCCUGGACAAAGACUGACGCUCAGGUGCGAAAGCGUGGGGAGCAAACAGGAUUAGAUACCCUAGUAGUC
rnacentral:rRNA from 1 species